rnacentral:lncRNA from 1 species
UCUUAAUUUCCCAUAAUAUACCUUGCCAAUUAUGCCACAACAUCGUGGAUCUUGUCCAAACCCUGAUAUUUCGCGACGAUUGUGCAAAAACUAAUUAAUUAACUAUACAAUUAUUGUAAGUCUUUGAUAAUGUUGACACCCGUUAACUUACAAAAUUUGUUAGCAUUUAUUUAUCUACCAGAAAUUAAUAUCUACUAGAAUAGCGUU